UCGGGUUGUAAAGCACUUUUGUCCGGAAAGAAAUCCUUGACCCUAAUACGGUCGGGGGAUGACGGUACCGGAAGACUAAGCACCGGCUAACUACGUGCCAGCAGCGCGGUAAUCGUAGGGUGCGAGCGUUAAUCGGAAUUACUGGGCGUAAAGCGUGCGCAGGCGGUUUGCUAAGACCGAUGUGAAAUCCCCGGGCUCAACCUGGGAACUGCAUUGGUGACUGGCAGGCUAGAGUAUGGCAGAGGGGGGUAGAAUUCCACGUGUAGCAGUGAAAUGCGUAGAGAUGUGGAGGAAUACCGAUGGCGAAGGCAGCCCCCUGGGCCAAUACUGACGCUCAUGCACGAAAGCGUGGGGAGCAAACAGGAUUAGAUACCCUGGUAGUCCACGCCCUAAACGAUGUCAACUAGUUGUUGGGGAUUCAUUUCCUUAGUAACGUAGCUAACGCGUGAAGUUGACCGCCUGGGGAGUACGGUCGCAAGAUUAAAACUCAAAGGAAUUGACGGGGACCCGCACAAGCGGUGGAUGAUGUGGAUUAAUUCGAUGCAACGCGAAAAACCUUACCUACCCUUGACAUGGUCGGAAUCCUGCUG
rnacentral:rRNA from 1 species